GCUUGUCUCAAAGAUUAAGCCAUGCACGUCUAAGUUUAAGCAAUUUAAACAGUGAAACUGCGAAUGGCUCAUUAUAUCAGUUAUAGCCUACUUGAUAGUACCUUACUAGUUGGAUAUCCGUAGUAAUUCUAGAGCUAAUACAUGCUUAAAGAUGUGUUUUUAAAAUACAUUGCAUUUAUUAGAUUGAAACUAAUUUUAAAGUUGAGUCAUAAUAACUGUGCGAAUCGUUUUGUAAAAAGCGAUGAAUCAAUUGGGUUUCUGCCCUAUCAGUUUUGGAUGGCUGUGUAUUGGACAGCCAUGACAUUAACGGGUAACGGGGAAUUGGGGUUUGAUACCGGAGAGGGCGCCUUAGAAAUGGCGACCACAUCCAAGGAAGGCAGCAGG
rnacentral:rRNA from 1 species